rnacentral:rRNA from 1 species
GUACACUCCUGCGGGAGGCAGCAGUGGGGAAUAUUGGACAAUGGGCGCAAGCCUGAUCCAGCCAUGCCGCGUGAGUAAUGAAGGCCCUAGGGUUGUAAAGCUCUUUCACCGGUGAAGAUAAUGACGGUAACCGGAGAAGAAGCCCCGGCUAACUUCGUGCCAGCAGCCGCGGUAAUACGAAGGGGGCUAGCGUUGUUCGGAUUUACUGGGCGUAAAGCGCACGUAGGCGGACUAUUAAGUCAGGGGUGAAAUCCCGGGGCUCAACCCCGGAACUGCCUUUGAUACUGGUAGUCUUGAGUUCGAGAGAGGUGAGUGGAAUUCCGAGUGUAGAGGUGAAAUUCGUAGAUAUUCGGAGGAACACCAGUGGCGAAGGCGGCUCACUGGCUCGAUACUGACGCUGAGGUGCGAAAGCGUGGGGAGCAAACAGGAUUAGAAACCCGAGUAGUCCCAUG